ACAUACAGGACAGUGAGCAGACUUUUGUAAACUAGUUGCAGAGAGAGAUAGAAAAAGUACCAGAGAGAAUCUUUAACUUGGAAGUAGAUAUGUGUCCAAGGCGUUACCAUCGACUUGCAAGGAUCCACGGAAAGCUAAAGAAGAUGAAUCAACAUUCUCAAGAACAUAAAGGUUGUGCAGAGAGUAGCUCUACCAAUCAUCAAGUCACGAGAAGACUCCUGUAACACACAGAAUGUAGGAUAAAAGUGAGCAGAAAGAUUACUAUCACGAAGCAAGCUACACACACUUAUCAAGUUGAAUCGGAAAGAAGGAACAUGAAGCACAUUAUGCAAGACAAGUGAAGAAGAAAUAUGCACAGUUCCUAUAUGAGUGAUAGUUUCAUUAAGUUCAUUAGGGAGAGAGACUGUAACACCAGACACAGUCGAGGUACUACUAAAGAGGGACAGAUCCGAGCAUACAUGUGUAGUAGCUCCACUGUCAAUGAUCCAGGUAUUAGAUAGUAGGGUCGAUGAAAGAGAUGAUAAGCAUUGAUGUUGGAAAGUAAGGAUAUUAUGUGUAAAACGAAGGCUAGUAGAGGGAAAGGGGAUGAUACCAGCGGAUGAUUGAGGUGCUGAAGAUGAGUAGGAUCCAUGUGGAUUUGGACCGGAUUAGGAUUAACAGCAUUCGCAGUUAUCUGAGCAACAUCGUUCGACUUUUGAAACUGCUGUGAAAGAGGGUGGUGAGAGGUUUGAGCUGGUCGCUGGUUAUAUCCCUGUUGACCUCGUGGAGUGAAACCAGAUCCUCGUGCAGAGGUCUUGUUAUUCCUGUGUCCUGGAGGGAAACCAUGUAACUUGAAACACUUGGUAACGAUGUGUCCAAGUUGGCUACAGUAGGUGCACAAAGGCCUCUGUUUAGGACGAUAACCGGAUUGCGAAUGAGCUGUUGCAAAAGCAGAAUGAUCAAGUAAAGUAUCAUUCAUAGGAGCGUCAGUAGGACCAGAACUCUGAAAAACUGCGUUUUGUAGGUGUAGAUAUAGGUUUGCUAGACUUCUGUCUUUCAUCCUGAGCCACCAGAUUGAACACAUCUUCGAUAGAUGGGAUUGGUUUCAACAUAAGGAUAUGGCGACGAGUCGGUUCAAAGGCUUCAUUAAGCCCCAUCAAGAACUUAGUCACACGAUUGCGUUGUUGUAAACGUUCCCAAAGAACAGCCGCAUUGGAAGGUCAACAUAAUUCUUGUGCUCUUCCCAGAGCGUGGCUAAAGCUGUAUAGUAUGCACUGACAUCCAUCGAACCUUUCUGCAAACGCGACUGAGUUGUUGUUCAAUCUCACACACUCUCGGCGCAUCGUCCUGUUUAAAACGAAAUAGAAUAUUCUUCCAAAUAGAUUCAGCAGUCGACAUAAAGAGAAGACUCUGACCUAUCUGCUUAGAAACGGAAUUCAUCAACCAUGUGGUCAUUGCAACGGGACCAAGAUCUAGCAUCGCGAUGAAUCCGAGCUUGUUAUCCUAACAGAAGGACGCCAAGAAUGGAACUCCGAGCCAGAUGUGAGACGAUCGGAGACCAAGACGAGUCCAGCGUGAUCGGAGCUGUGAAGAUGAUAGGUAUCAUAAAGCUUACGUGAGGAGGAAGAAUAACAGAGUUGCGGAACAGAGUAAGGAUGACGCGGCAGAGGACGUUGGAUCGGAAGUAAAUGAAUAAGGAAACCUUCGGAUGGAGAAAGAGUCUUUCCGUUAGGAGUCAUCUUCUUCUUAUUAUGAGUUCGUUGUUCAUUCUGUUUCUUUAUGCACACAGUCGAGGUACUACUAAAGAGGGACAGAUCCGAGCAUACAUGUGUAGUAGCUCCACUGUCAAUGAUCCAGGUAUUAGAUAGUAGGGUCGAUGAAAGAGAUGAUAAGCAUUGAUGUUGGAAAGUAAGGAUAUUAUGUGUAAAACGAAGGCUAGUAGAGGGAAAGGGGAUGAUACCAGCGGAUGAUUGAGGUGCUGAAGAUGAGUAGGAUCCAUGUGGAUUUGGACCGGAUUAGGAUUAACAGCAUUCGCAGUUAUCUGAGCAACAUCGUUCGACUUUUGAAACUGCUGUGAAAGAGGGUGGUGAGAGGUUUGAGCUGGUCGCUGGUUAUAUCCCUGUUGACCUCGUGGAGUGAAACCAGAUCCUCGUGCAGAGGUCUUGUUAUUCCUGUGUCCUGGAGGGAAACCAUGUAACUUGAAACACUUGGUAACGAUGUGUCCAAGUU
rnacentral:lncRNA from 1 species